AGAUUCUUGCAGGACUCAGUGAAAGUCUUCCAAAGCUCCAGUCAGCUCUCCAUCGUGUCAACAUCCAUCACAACAACAUCCAUCCAAUAAGACAAAGCUUCUCUUGUGAUUUCAAAUAUGGAAAGUUUUUAGAGGGAACAAUCCGAUAUCAAGCAUCAACAUGCAGAGUGCAGACAGGGUGUGUUGGUGACAGGCCUCCAGGACGUUGGCAGUGUGUGUUAAAAGCCAGAGUUAAGGUGUUUUUGCCGGGAGCUCCCGGUCGCUCUGGUUCUUACCACGCUUGGAGGAUUUACUGGGCAAAGAAGCUGAGCGCUGAGAGCCAUCUGAGAGCAGAGGACAGUGUCAGAAACACCAACCAACGCACUGAGGCCCAGCGCUUCAUCAGCAGGCUCACGAUGAAGUCCACAGUGGUGUGAGCUGCUGAUGAGACGUGUGUGAGCGCAACAGCAUGCCAGCAGAGCCAGCCAGCCAGGUGCAUUGUGGGAAACCAGUCAGUGCGUGGGAGGGUCGGACACUUA